rnacentral:rRNA from 1 species
GACGAAGGGGCUAGCGUUGUUCGGAAUUACUGGGCGUAAAGCGCGUGUAGGCGGUUAUCCAAGUCGGGUGUGAAAGCCUUGAGCUCAACUCAAGAAAUGCACUCGGUACUGGGUGACUAGAGGACCGGAGAGGAUAGUGGAAUUCCCAGUGUAGUGGUGAAAUACGUAGAGAUUGGGAAGAACACCAGUGGCGAAGGCGGCUAUCUGGACGGUUUCUGACGCUAAGACGCGAAAGCGUGGGGAGCAAACAGG